GGGCUUUGCGCCGACUUUGGCCUUGGCUACCGGGUCCGCGUGCGUUUCCCCUGAAUCGCCGCAAAAACGUCCGUACACAGCUCGCCGUGCGUCUGGCCCUGAAAGCAGCCCCACGAGCGGAGGAAGGAGGCGCAGGACGCCAGCCGAGCCACGUUUCCCGACCAGAGAUCCCCGUGGAGCAACGCGGGGACAAUCUCUAGGCCACAAAACAGAUCCGGGAUCUUCACCUACGAGAGCAACGGCUGCAGUUAUCGCUGGCCUCAGGGAGCCCCGGUCUCAUCACCUCGUUCUUGGAAAUAAGGCAAAGCCCACUCGCGAUCUGCUUCGGUGUCCAGCCCCAGCACUGCCUGCCAAGCCCAGAAACAGGGGCCACCUGACUUCAGGGGAGUCUCGCUUUGUCUAACUUAGGGCUUCCUCCUAAUUUAGGUCUAGAAUCCCCACGCAGUGGAGAACCUCCGAGGUUAUAGUUUUAAUCGACCCACAGAAUAGGAACCAGUGUUGCGCUACCUUAGCAAACUCUGGCCACUUUUAUUUCGCUACACAUAUAUGUCUGCAGGUUUGGUUUGGUUUUGUUGUUUUUUUCUUUGAGAGGGAGUCUCGCUCUGUCACCCAGGCUGGAGUGCAGUGGCACCAUCUCGGCUCACUGCAACCUCCGCCUCCCGGAUUCAAGUGAUUCUCCUGCCUCAGCCUACUGAGUAGCUGGGAUUACAGGCGCCCGCCACUACACCCGGCUAAUUUUUGUAUUUUUAGUAGAGAUGGGGUUUCACCAUAUUGGCCAGUCUGGUCUUGAAAUCCUGACCUCAGGUAAUCUAUCCACCUCGGCCUCCCAAAGUGCUAGGAUUACAGGCUUGAGCCACCAUGCCCAGCCUAGUUUCUUCAUUAAUGAGUUCAAGUCUCUUUGAUGUAUACUCACUCUGGAUUGACAUGCACAUUCUUUUUUAACAUUUUAAGAGUUAUAUUUUGAUUUUUUUUUUCUUUUUGAUACAGGAUCUCACUCUGUCGUCCAGGCUGGAGUGCAAUGGUGCAAUCUCCCCUCACUGCAGCCUCCGCCUCCCGGGUUCAAGUGAUUCUCCUGCCUCAGCCUCCCGAGUAGCUGGGAUUACAGGCAUGCACCACCAUGCACGGUUAAUUUUUGCAUUUUUAGUACAGACAGGGUUUCACCAUGUUGGCCAGGCUGGUCUCAAACUCCUGACCUCAAGUGAUCCGCCCACCUAGGCCUCCCAAAUGCUGCGAUUACAGGCGUGAGCUACUGCGCCCGGCCGAGAGUUAUGUUUUGAAAUCAGUCACUCUGGAUCAUCUGGUACCCACAUCUUCCCAUGGGAGAGGAACAGGAUGGAGUGGACAAGUGUUACUGAUAGUAAGAACAGUAAUCAUGGUAAACACCACCAUUUACAAGCACCUGUGUUUCAGAGGAGGAAAGUCGGAGGCUAAAUACCUGGUGACCUAGCAGUGGAGAGGGGCACGAGGAGCCAAGUGUGUCUUCACUCCUCACUCCUUUCGGACUCCCUGUUGGGGGAACCCCCUGCCCCUGCCCCCCUUCCUCCCUGAUGUGUGCUCCAGGACUCAGUGUUCCCUGCUCCAGCUCCGUUUUACAGACGACCCUGCACAAAUGCGGCAGGAUCAUGAGAGGACCAGCUCUUUCCCAGAGAAGUCACUGUCGUGCCCACCUGUAGCCGGGACCAGAGUUCUCGCGCCUCUCGGUCAGCAUAGUCCUUCUCAAUGAGGUCCAGCUGCGCCUGGAGCCGGUGCCGGGCGAAAAAGGUCGGCCAAUCAUCCUGCCACUCAUUCACCUGGACAACAAGGGAAAAGAGGCCACUGUUGCAAUUCGGAGCCAAGUGCUGCCUAAACCCUAGAGGGACCAUUCAAAACACAGCAAAGAUACCUAGUAAGCCAACAAAGGAGGUAAGACAGAAACAUAAAAUACUCAACCCAGAGGAAGGCAGGUAAAGAGAGAACAAAGGGCAGAUGAAACAAAAAACAAAUUGCAAGAUGACAGACUCAAAACUAACUAUAUGACUAAGCACAUUAAAUACAAAUGUCAAAAAUAAAUACUCUUGGUAAAUGACAGAUUGGCAGGUUGGAAAAAUAAAGCAAAUCCAACAAUAA